rnacentral:rRNA from 1 species
CCCUUAGAUGUUCUGGGCCGCACGCGCGCUACACUGACAGAGCCAACGAGUUCUUCACCUUGGCCGGAAGGUCUGGGUAAUCUUGUUAAACUCUGUCGUGCUGGGGAUAGAGCAUUGCAAUUAUUGCUCUUCAACGAGGAAUGCCUAGUAAGCGCGUGUCAUCAGCACGCGUUGAUUACGUCCCUGCCCUUUGUACACACCGCCCGUCGCUACUACCGAUUGAAUGGCUCAGUGAGGCCUUCGGACUGGCUCAGGGAGGUUGGCAACGACCACCCCGAGCCGGAAAGUUCGUCAAACUCGGUCAUUUAGAGGAAGUAAAGGUCGUAACA